UACGUAGGGGGCUAGCGUUGUCCGGAAUCAUUGGGCGUAAAGCGCGCGUAGGCGGCCAGAUAAGUCCGGUGUGAAAGUCACAGGCUCAACCUGUGAAUGCCGCUGGAAACUGUCUGGCUUGAGUCCGGAAGGGGCGAGUGGAAUUCCACGUGUAGCGGUGAAAUGCGUAGAGAUGUGGAGGAACACCAGUGGCGAAGGCGACUCUUUGGCCUGUAACUGACGCUGAGGCGCGAAAGCGUGGGGAGCAAACAGG
rnacentral:rRNA from 1 species